rnacentral:rRNA from 1 species
UGGCCAUCCGAGUUGUAAUCUAGAGAAGUGUUACCCGCGUCGGACCGUGUACAAGUCUCCUGGAAUGGAGCGUCAUAGAGGGUGAGAAUCCCGUCUUUGACACGGACUACCGAGGCUUUGUGGUGCUCUCAACGAGUCGAGUUGUUUGGGAAUGCAGCUCAAAAUGGGUGGUAAAUUCCAUCUAAAGCUAAAUAUUGGCGAGAGACCGAUAGCGAACAAGUACCGUGAGGGAAAGAUGAAAAGAACUUUGGAAAGAGAGUUAAACAGUACGUGAAAUUGCUAAAAGGGAAACGCUUGAAGUCAGUCGCGUUGGCCGGAAAUCAGCCUUGCUUUUGCUGGGUGUACUUUCUGGUUGACGGGCCAGCAUCAGUUUUGACCGGUGGAAAAAGUUCAAGGGAAUGUGGCAUCUUCGGAUGUGUUAUAGCCCUUGGUCGUAUACAUCGGUUGGGACUGAGGAACUCAGCACGCCGAAAGGCCGGGUCUUUGACCACGUUCGUGCUUAGGAUGCUGGCAUAAUGGCUUUAAUCGACCCGUCUUGAAACACGGACCAAGGAGUCUAACAUGCCUGCGAGUGUUUGGGUGGAAAACCCGGACGCGUAAUGAAAGUGAAAGUCGAGAGUAGUGGUAAAAGUCGCAUCGACGCCCGGACCAGAAGUUUUCUGACGGCCCUGCGGUAGAGCAUGUAUGUUGGGACCCGAAAGAUGGUGAACUAUGCCUGAAUAGGGUGAAGCCAGAGGAAACUCUGGUGGAGGCUCGUAGC